UGAGAUGUCCAAAAGACCACUGAUGGCAUUGUAACUCAUGAUCCCUGCAUGGGGUUUCCGCGGUGCCAUGUUAUGUGUUGAAGCAAAGAACGUAAGCUUCAUGAAAGAAGAAACUGUCUAGCUCCUUCGUGGCCAGAUUCUUAGAGCCUAGAAAGUAAUGCAGAGGUGAGAAAACUGAUGCAGAAAGAAGUCAGAUAACGUAAC